UACGUAGGGUGCAAGCGUUAAUCGGAAUUACUGGGCGUAAAGCGUGCGCAGGCGGUUGUGCAAGACCGAUGUGAAAUCCCCGGGCUUAACCUGGGAACUGCACUUGUGACUGCACGGCUGGAGUACGGCAGAGGGGGAUGGAAUUCCGCGUGUAGCAGUGAAAUGCGUAGAUAUGCGGAGGAACACCGAUGGCGAAGGCAGUCCCCUGGGCCUGUACUGACGCUCAUGCACGAAAGCGUGGGGAGCAAACAGG
rnacentral:rRNA from 1 species